ACAUAUAGUUUCCUUUGGCCCCUUUGAGAGAGAUUUCGGUUGCUACCCUUGGUACUUUGUAUGCUGCCAUCUUGUUUGGUCUCCUUUGUGAGACCUAUUAUAUCACCCAUCACCAACACUUUGACUGAUGACAUGGCUACUAGUUCGACCCCAUGUCUGUCCGAUUUUCUCCAUACUUGCUAUUAUCCUCCUGUCGCCUUUGUGCAUGGCUGUCUCUGCGUGAUUACUUGGGUAUUUUCUUCGUGGCUUUGAGUGAGAUUCUUGGACGAUUCUAGUGGAGCUACCUUGUGUGUUUUUGGGUCAUUGAUCUGAGCUCUGUACACUUCAUUUUCUGUGCCAAUCUUUGUGAAAUCGAAAGGAAAUGUUUAUUUUUCAUUCACGACUUGAUUCCAUUAUUAUCAUUUGAUUUGGAACUUACUUUGUGUUUGCUUGAUCACUUAAAGGUUAUAUUGACCUCCACAAAAUCGUAUCAGAGCCUUCAGUGGCUCGAUUGGUGGCUAGUUUUCAAUCCUAUCGACUAAAAAUUGGAGUUACAGCGAUCGAGGCUUGUGUAUGGUGUGCAAUUGAGGAGUAGGUCAGCUGUUUUGCCAAUAAGGGCUUGAAUUUUUAAUUAAUUUCGCAUCUCUCUUUGUUAUGAACUACAAACAGGUCUCCUUAGGUAAUUUUGUUGAAACUCCUUAAAUUACUGCAAUAGCAGGUCAUCAUGUGAGAUGACCAAAAGGAUUGCAGCCUUACUUGAUACUAGUAUUUUAGGACUAUUUCCCUAAAUUUGUGAUAUUAUCGUUUUUGUGGCUAUAUUGAUAGUUGUUCACUUUUCGUGUUGUUGCUG
rnacentral:lncRNA from 1 species